rnacentral:rRNA from 1 species
GUGGGGAAUUUUGCACAAUGGGCGCAAGCCUGAUGCAGCGACGCCGCGUGAGGGAUGGAGGCCUUCGGGUUGUGAACCUCUUUCGCUCAUGGUCAAGCCGCGGAUGUGUCCGUGGUGAGGGUAGUGGGUAAAGAAGCGCCGGCUAACUACGUGCCAGCAGCCGCGGUAAUACGUAGGGCGCGAGCGUUGUCCGGAAUUAUUGGGCGUAAAGGGCUUGUAGGCGGUUUGUCGCGUCUGCCGUGAAAUUCCCUGGCUUAACUGGGGGCGUGCGGUGGGUACGGGCAGGCUUGAGUGCGGUAGGGGAGACUGGAAUUCCUGGUGUAGCGGUGGAAUGCGCAGAUAUCAGGAGGAACACCGGUGGCGAAGGCGGGUCUCUGGGCCGUUACUGACGCUGAGGAGCGAAAGCAUGGGGAGCGAACAGGAUUAGAAACCCUGGUAGUCC